GACAGUCCAGUAACGGCUCAUCUGGCAGCACAUGUAGACUUACAGAGUUAAAGCCUUUACAUUACAACCCCAGGUGAUUCAGCAUACCACGAGCAAUGUUACAAAGGAGAUGAACACAGAAGUUAAGAGAUAAAAGUUAUUUUGGGAGAAUUAUUGUAACUUUGACUCAAAUGCUAACUGGGCUAGGAGGACAUUACAGAAAUGUUCAUACAACAGCAUGUUGUUAACAGAUAUUUGUCUCUAAGUGCAACAAAAUAAAUAUCCCCCACAUUAAGCUUUUAUGUUCAUUUUAGUCUGUGCAUUUUUUUGUUGGACAAUAUGCAUUGUAUUUACAGUUUGUACACGUGCUUUAAAUGUCAAAAGACUUGGAAGUAAGGAAACAACAUAAAACCCUUCAUUAUAAUACUUUUUUUUUCUAUAUUGAAAUUUAACAAUCCACACGAUAGAGAUGUUUCUCUUAAUUAGCCGUGUGAGGUUCAAUGUACAUUAAAUACACCAUUUCAGUGCUUGCAAAGAUAAAUAAUCAUUUGUGAUACAAUUCUUAGAUUAAAACUACAACUUUUUUCAGAAUAAUUUAACUACAAAUUAGCUUUUUGUCCCUUUCUGUUAGAAUUUGUAAACGUGACUUUCAUCUGUUAUACCAGCAACAGUUGAACCAUUCUUUUUUAAAAGACAUUAAACAUGACAGAACAUGACUUUCCCUCCUCUUGUUCAAGGCUCUGUUUUAAUCUUGGCUUUAGCUCUGGAGCGCGUGUUGACCUCUGAGGACAGAGGCUGAGGGGGUGAGGACUCUGGAGAAGAAGGCCUGGAGAGCGGCACAAACAGAGGAGGCCCCUGGCACAGCAAGAGUUCUUCACCAAGCCAAAGUUCAGCCACCUCGUUGAGCCUGCCGACUGCCUCUCCGCUCCCUGUGAUGUCAUCAGCCUGGACAUGUACACGCUGCAAAUCAAAGACCUGGAGGAAAUAAAGGGUCAGUUUCAAUUUUGUGUGGAGAAGCCCGGUGUUUUUCAUGGAUUUACCACUUGGUUUACGGCUCAUUUUGAGAGUCUGGAGACGGGAAGUCCACCAGUGGAGCUAAACACGGGGCCUCACUUCAAGCCUACACACUGGAAGCAGACUCUCUUCAUGCUUGACAACCCAGUAAGCGUGUGUGCAGGGACUCCAUCAGUGGAAGCAUUGUCCUGCACAGGAAUCCCGUGUGGAGACGCCAUAUGACCAUCACCCUGCAUUGGAACGUUAACGGCAGCACAGAGGAAACAGAAAACUGCAAG